rnacentral:rRNA from 1 species
UACAUGGGGUGCAAACGUUGCUCGGAAUUAUUGGGCGUAAAGCGCACGUAGGCGGUUUGUUAAGUCGGAUGUGAAAUCCCUCGGCUCAACUGAGGAAGUGCACCCGAAACUGGCAGGCUUGAGUACUAAAGAGGGUCGCGGAAUUCCCGGUGUAGAGGUAAAAUUCGUAGAUAUCUGGAGGAAUACCGGUGGCGAAGGCGGCAUCCUGGACCGGCAUUGACGCUGAGGAGCGAAAGCUAGGGGAGCGAAUGGG